GAUGAACGCUAGCGGCAGGCUUAACACAUGCAAGUCGAGGGGUAACAGGGAAGAGCUUGCUUUUCCGCUGACGACCGGCGCACGGGUGCGUAACGCGUAUAGAACCUACCUUUUACAGGGGAAUAGCCCAGAGAAAUUUGGAUUAAUGCCCCAUAGUAUUAUUGAAUGGCAUCAUUUAAUAAUUAAACAUUUAUGGGUAAAAGAUGGCUAUGCGUUCUAUUAGCUAGAUGGUAAGGUAACGGCUUACCAUGGCAACGAUAGAUAGGGGUCCUGAGAGGGAGAUCCCCCACACUGGUACUGAGACACGGACCAGACUCCUACGGGAGGCAGCAGUGAGGAAUAUUGGACAAUGGAGGCAACUCUGAUCCAGCCAUGCCGCGUGCAGGAAGACGGUCCUAUGGAUUGUAAACUGCUUUUAUAUAGGAAGAAACCUUUCCACGUGUGGAAAGCUGACGGUACUAUAAGAAUAAGCACCGGCUAACUCCGUGCCAGCAGCCGCGGUAAUACGGAGGGUGCAAGCGUUAUCCGGAAUCAUUGGGUUUAAAGGGUCCGUAGGCGGACUAAUAAGUCAGGGGUGAAAUCCAACAGCUUAACUGUUGAACUGCCUUUGAUACUGUUAGUCUUGAGUUAUAUGGAAGUAGAUAGAAUAUGUAGUGUAGCGGUGAAAUGCUUAGAGAUUACAUAGAAUACCGAUUGCGAAGGCAGUCUACUACGU
rnacentral:rRNA from 1 species